rnacentral:lncRNA from 1 species
UACUUCGAUACAAUUUUCCGAUCUGUUCCAACCAAUAAGCAUGGUUUUAUCUACGUAUGGAUGGUGGCAUAUUGGUAUUCUCCAUAAGGCUUAAGGGUUUAAAUUUGUUAUAGUUCUCCAUACUUGAUUAAUCUAGGGUGUAAAUUUUGCGUUAUGAAAAAAAAUAAAAAAAAUAUUUGCGUUAUGAACCAUUUAGUCACGUGAAUUUUGGUUUGACAGUUUAUAUAUUGGGUUUAUGGGAUUACUUUGUUUUUAUAAAAGAACCUACUCACCAGUCUCCUCUCUUAAACUAUUGAUGUGAAAAAACAA